rnacentral:rRNA from 1 species
AUACGGAGGAUCCGAGCGUUAUCCGGAUUUAUUGGGUUUAAAGGGUGCGCAGGCGGCCAUUUAAGUCAGCGGUUAAAUCGUGGGGCUCAACCCCAUUCUGCCGUUGAUACUGGGUGGCUUGAUUGCGGUCGAGGUUGGCGGAAUUCGUUGUGUAGCGGUGAAAUGCAUAGAUAUGACGAAGAACACCGAUUGCGUAGGCAGCUGACCAGACCGCAAAUGACGCUCAUGCACGAAAGUGCGGGGAUCGAACAGGAUUAGAUACCCUGGUAGUCCGCACAGUAAACGAUGAAUACUUGUUUUCGGCGAUAUAAUGUCGGAGGCAAAGCGAAAGCGAUAAGUAUUCCACCUGGGGAGUUCGCCGGCAACGGUGAAACUCGAAGGAAUUGACGGGG